AUCCUUAGUAGUUGAAAGUUACCGGCGGUUAGAGAUGGCAUGCGUUGUAUUAGCUAGAUGGUGGGGUAAGUGGCUCACCAUGGCGACGAGUACAUAGGGGGACUGAGAGGUUAACCCCCCACACUGGUACUGAGACACGGACCAGACUCCUACGGGAGGCAGCAGUGAGGAAUAUUGGUCAAUGGACGCAAGUCUGAACCAGCCAUGCCGCGUGCAGGAAGACGGCUCUAUGAGUUGUAAACUGCUUUUGUACAAGGGUAAACCUCGGUACGUGUACCGAGCUGAAAGUACUGUACGAAUAAGGAUCGGCUAACUCCGUG
rnacentral:rRNA from 1 species